UACGUAGGGGGCUAGCGUUGUCCGGAAUCAUUGGGCGUAAAGCGCGUGUAGGCGGCCCGGUAAGUCCGCUGUGAAAGUCGGGGGCUCAACCCUCGAAUGCCGGUGGAUACUGUCGGGCUCGAGUGCGGAAGAGGCGAGUGGAGUUCCUGGUGUAGCGGUGAAAUGCGCAGAUAUCAGGAGGAACACCGAUGCGAAGGCAGCUCGCUGGGACGUUACUGACGCUGAGACGCGAAAGCGUGGGGAGCAAACAGG
rnacentral:rRNA from 1 species